rnacentral:lncRNA from 1 species
CUCCGUCCAGGGUUGCCAGGACGCCUCUAUUUGGACGCAUCAAGACAGUUUUCUCUGCCGUCCCCGAGCAGCUCGCUGUCACAUCAGACAAGUGGAGAGCCCAGCCGUGUGCUCAUUGGGAAUAAGGUCGGGCCAUGCAGGAGCACCGCAAGCCUUGCUUUCCUCAUCUGUAAAAUGGGCAUGACAGGAACAGGAUGGCAGAGACUGUCACUCUCUGCAGGGUCACCCAUGGAGGGCAGGUUUCAGCGGAGCUUCCAGACAAGACAGACUAGGAAGAAGGACCUGGCCACCCACUUCCAAAAGAAUUGGCCGUGGAAACACCACAAAUAGCAGUGGAGCAUUGUCUGAUAGCGCCCUGAGAGGUGAGAGGAUGGUGCAAAAAGACCAGGUAGGAUUCCACUCUGCUGCUUCGAUUUUCCUGAAUAGACUUAAGGGCACUAACAACAAAUGUACAUAAAUAAAC